rnacentral:rRNA from 1 species
GACGAACGCUGGCGGCGUGCCUAAUACAUGCAAGUAGAACGCACAGUUUAUACCGUAGCUUGCUACACCAUAGACUGUGAGUUGCGAACGGGUUAGUAACGCGUAGGUAACCUGCCUGGUAGCGGGGGAUAACUAUUGGAAACGAUAGCUAAUACCGCAUCAUAUUAAUUAUUGCAUGUUAAUUAAUUGAAAGGUGCAAUUGCACCACUACCAGAUGGACCUGCGUUGUAUUAGCUAGUAGGUGAGGUAACGGCUCACCUAGGCGACGAUACAUAGCCGAACUGAGAGGGUGGUCGGCCACACUGGGACUGGGACACGGCCCAGACUCCUACGGGAAGCAGCAGUAGGGAAUCUUCGGCAAUGGGCGAAAGUCUGACCGAGCAACGCCGAGGGAGUGAAGAAGGUUUUCGGAUCGUAAAGCUCGGUUGUAAGAGAAGAACGGGUGUGAGAGUGGAAAGUUCACACUGUGACGGUAUCUGAACAGAAAGGGACGGCUAACUACGUG